UACGAAGGGGGCUAGCGUUGCUCGGAAUUACUGGGCGUAAAGGGAGCGUAGGCGGACAGCUAAGUCAGAGGUGAAAGCCCAGGGCUCAACCCUGGAAUUGCCUUUGAUACUGGCUAUCUUGAGUAUGGGAGAGGUGUGUGGAACUCCGAGUGUAGAGGUGAAAUUCGUAGAUAUUCGGAAGAACACCAGUGGCGAAGGCGACACACUGGCCCAUUACUGACGCUGAGGCUCGAAAGCGUGGGGAGCAAAC
rnacentral:rRNA from 1 species